rnacentral:rRNA from 1 species
GAUGAACGCUGGCGGCGUGCCUAAUACAUGCAAGUAGAACGCUGAAGGAAGGAGCUUGCUCUUUCCGGAUGAGUUGCGAACGGGUGAGUAACGCGUAGGUAACCUGCCUGGUAGCGGGGGAUAACUAUUGGAAACGAUAGCUAAUACCGCAUAACAGUAGAUGUUGCAUGAUAUCUACUUAAAAGGUGCAAUUGCACCACUACCAUAUGGACCUGCGUUUUAUUAGCUAGUUGGUGAGGUAACGGCUCACCAAGGCGAAGAUACAUAGCCGACCUGAGAGGGUGGUCGGCCAAACUGGGACUGAGAAAAGGCCCAGACUCCUACGGGAGGGAGCAGUAGGGAAUCUUCGGAAAUGGACGGAAGUCUGACCGAGCAAAGCCGCGUGAGUGAAGAAGGUUUUCGGAUCGUAAAGCUCUGUUGUAAGAGAAGAACGAGUGUGAGAGUGGAAAGUUCACACUGUGACGGUAUCUUACCAGAAAGGGACGGCUAACUACGUG